AAACAAGUAGGUGAUACUGAGAACUAAUCAACUUCUAUAUCCAGAGCAGCAAAGCACACAUCAGACGUCUGAUUUAAUAGAACUAAAUGGAUUUAUUAAACUUCAACAAAUUGUGACACUCUAGGAGAAUUUUUUUUAUAAAUAAAUUUUAUAUUUCGAGAAAAUAAUUGUAAUAGGCCCAAUUUGCCUGGGGCCCAUUCAGAAUAAGUAGAAGAAAAAAAAACCAAAAAUAAUUAAAUGUCCACAGUCUAAAUACAUGGGCCCAACGUGGACCAAACCGUUUUAACCUAAACUACCCAAAUUUAACCUAACCCCAAGCCCAAUCACCAAACCCAAUUACAAUAACCGCAUAACCCACUAUCUAAAAAGCCCAAUCAGCCCAAAGCUAAGAAAACAAGAAACCCUAGGGUUUCUGCAGCAUCCAGCGCCGCAACAAUCAGGGCCCCCUCCCGCGCGUGCUAUGCCUCCGCGCGUACGUGCUUCUUCUCCUCCAGGUCGUACCUGCACACAAGCAAACAAGAAAAGACGAAUAGAAAACAGUAACAAAC
rnacentral:lncRNA from 1 species